UACGUAGGGGGCUAGCGUUGUCCGGAAUCAUUGGGCGUAAAGAGCGUGUAGGCGGCCCGGUAAGUCCGCUGUAAAAGUCAAAGGCUCAACCUUUGAAUGUCAGUGGAUACUGCCGGGCUAGAGUCCGGAAGAGGCGAGUGGAACUCCUGGUGUAGCGGUGGAAUGCGCAGAUAUCAGGAAGAACACCAACGGCGAAGGCAGCUCGCUGGGACGGUACUGACGCUGAGACGCGAAAGCGUGAGGAGCGAACAGG
rnacentral:rRNA from 1 species